UCAGAUUCUACCGAUUCCCAACUAAAUGGUACGAAAAAAGCAGACGACAGGCAUGGAUUACCGCAGUGCGCCGAACAAAUGCUGAUGGAAGUCCGUGGUCGCCAACAGAGACAACACGGAUUUGUAGCAGACAUUUUGUUGGAAACUGCAAGAAUGACAGUAACCAACACCCGUCGUAUGUGCCGACCAUUUUUCCGGCGGCGUACAAGAAACGGACACCUGACCCAGAAGUGGCGCAGAGGUGGAAACGGCGUUUUGAAAGGGCAGCCAGAACAAAUUCUGCGGAGCAGGCUGUGCCGCAGAGUACUCCUCAAGUUGAUCCAGCAGUGCAAGAUCAAGAUACCACUGCUUGCCUGGGCUUCGAUGACACACU